UCCCUGGUGGCUCAGUGGUAAAGAAUCUGCCUGCUAAUGCAGGAGACACAAGUUCGAUCCUUGAUCUGGGAA
rnacentral:tRNA from 1 species